GAUGAACGCUGGCGGCGUGCUUAACACAUGCAAGUCGAACGAUGAAGCCCAGCUUGCUGGGUGGAUUAGUGGCGAACGGGUGAGUAACACGUGAGUAACCUGCCCUUAACUCUGGGAUAAGCCUGGGAAACGGGGUCUAAUACCGGAUAGGAGCGCCUACCGCAGGGUGGGUGUUGGAAAGAUUUAUCGGUUUUGGCUGGACUCGCGGCCUAUCAGCUUGUUGGUGAGGUAAUGGCCCACCAAGGCGACGGCGGGUAGCCGGCCUUGGAGGGUGACCGGCCACACUGGGACUGAGACACGGCCCAGACUCCUACGGGAGGCAGCAGUGGGGAAUAUUGCACAAUGGGCGCACGCCUGAUGCAGCGACGCCGCGUGAGGGAUGACGGCCUUCGGGUUGUAAACCUCUUUCAGUAGGGAAGAAGCGAAAGUGACGGUACCUGAAGAAGAAGCACCGGCUAACUACGUG
rnacentral:rRNA from 1 species